UACGAGGGGGGCAAAUGUUGUUCGGAAUCACUGGGCGUAAAGGGAGCGUAGGCGGGUUCUUAAGUUAGGUGUUUAAUCCCGGGGCCCAACCCCGGACCGGCACUUAAAACUGGGAAUCUUGAAUAGUGGAGAGGUCAGUGGAAUUGGGGGUGUAGCGGUGGAAUGCGUAGAGAUCCCCAAGAACACCAGUUGCGAAGGCGGCUGACUGGACACAUAUUGACGCUGAGGCUCGAAAGCAUGGGGAGCAGACAGG
rnacentral:rRNA from 1 species